AAGAUCAUAGAUUUAAGGACAGAAAGGACCUUACUGUGGUCCAAAUACUUUAUUUUAUAAACUCUCUUUCCACAGCCUCUGGGAGGUGGGAGCAGCAACCCCAGAUAUCAGAUACUGUGUUACCUGAAUGGCACUUGGAGAAAGAAGAGAAGGGCUAUAAGGGAAGUCAGGUGACUCAGCAAAGGUCAAACAGAGUAAAUGACCAAAGGAAGAUUUGUUUCCACUUCUUCUCCAUUCAAAUCCAUUGCUCCCUUCCACUGUCAUGUUCUUUCAGCCUCAGUUUCCUUAUCUGGUAAGGGAGAUAAUAAUGACAAUAGAACUUAUGCCAUGGGCAAAAUUAGAUGAGAUAAGUGGAGAGCAUUUUGCAAAUCUUAAAGCACUAUAUAAAUGUCAGUCUUUUUUUCCCUCCCAUUAUCCCUUUCAGUUAAGGGCAUUGAUUCAAGGAUUUAUGUAUAGGUAGUCCUGGCUAAGAGAUACAGUCACAUUAUCUGACAAUGGAGGAAAGGAAUAGCUGCUAUCCAAGGGUUUUGAGAUGAAGAAAAAGAAAGAAGAGGAAAUUCUAAGUUAAUAACAUCCCGAUGAGGUCCUUACUUAAGAGGAUGAAGAGAGAUGGAAAAUCUAAUGAGUAGCUCAACCCUCCCCCCACUGUUUGCAGAUGAUGAUGGCUCUAAGGAGAGUAGUGAUAUGGCUGCAACUGGGUUAGCCCAUCCAGAGGUUACAUACAGUGGUGGGGCUACACCAUCCACAAACAAUCCAGAUUUUGUGGAAGAUCUUUCCCAAGUUCAGCUGCUCCAGAAUGAAUCUUCAAAUACAGUAGAAAAUAGUGAACAGCGGCAUGAGGAUGAGCAAAGAAACAAACGAGGAGGUUGGUCCAAAGGAAGAAAGAGGAAGAAGCCACUUCGAGAUAGCAAUGCUCCCAAAUCCCCCCUUACAGGAUACGUGCGGUUCAUGAAUGAACGUCGAGAACAGCUUCGUGCAAAGAGGCCUGAGGUCCCCUUUCCGGAAAUCACAAGGAUGCUGGGGAAUGAAUGGAGUAAACUGCCUCCUGAAGAGAAACAGCGUUACCUGGAUGAAGCAGACCGAGAUAAGGAACGCUACAUGAAGGAGCUGGAACAGUAUCAGAAGACAGAGGCCUACAAAGUUUUUAGCAGAAAAACCCAGGACCGGCAGAAGGGCAAAUCUCACAGGCAGGAAGGAACUCGACAGGCUGCACAUGAUCAUGAGAAGGAAGUCGAUGUGAAAGAAAGAUCUGUUUUUGACAUACCUAUAUUCACAGAAGAAUUCCUUAACCACAGUAAAGCACGAGAAGCAGAGCUGCGACAGCUGCGUAAGUCCAACAUGGAGUUUGAAGAGAGAAAUGCAGCCCUUCAGAAGCAUGUGGAAAGCAUGCGCACAGCUGUGGAGAAACUGGAGGUGGAUGUGCUCCAGGAACGGAGCCGCAACACCGUCCUGCAGCAGCACUUGGAGACCUUGCGACAAGCGCUUACCAGCAGCUUUGCUGGGGUGCCAUUACCUGGAAGUGGAGAGACCCCCACAGUGGAUACCAUUGACUCCUACAUGAACAGACUGCACAGUAUCAUUCUAGCUAAUCCCCAGGACAAUGAAAACUUCAUAGCCACAGUUCGAGAGGUUGUGAACAGGCUUGAUCGCUAGUGACUGGUGCUCUGGCUCCAAGAUGUUCUGCAAGUGAUUUCUGCUUGUGAGGAAUGAGAAGCCAUGAUGGAAACAGACUGCCCAGGGGCAGAAAGAGGCUGUGGAGAAAGUGACCUGUGCAUUCAUUCCAGCCUCCCCCACCCCUGGAAAGCCAUAGGAACACCCUGAGGGUUCCUGUUUCCCUGGCUACUACUUAAGAAGCAGCCUCGUUCGUGCACGGUUCAUGGAUUCUCUGCACUUGGAAUAAAGGCUUCAAAGUAAAUAAAUAGUAGGUGGGAGUUAAGUAAGGCUUCAGAGGCAUUACUUAAGUGGUUGGAGUCAAGUCUCAGGCUAAUCUGAGCCAUCUUUGUGGAGGGGGCAUGUUUGGAAGAACUGAUCACUCUCCUGGAAGACAACUGAUGGAGAGAGGCCACUUGGGAUCAUGGAAGGAACAGUGGGUGUGGAAUCACCUCAUCCCAGCUCUGCCACUAAAGAAGUACCCCAGGGACUUGGCAGGUCACUUACUUGUGCUGGGCCAAAGCCUCUUGUCUUACCAUCCUUUGGAUGGAAUGGGAGGGCCCCUUCUUGUCCUCCAGGGCUCUGAAUCAGUGAGAAUUAAAAACUAGCCUUAGAGAUGGAAGCAAGCUUGUUUAUCAAUAUUAAUGAAAGGCAGCAUAACCCAGGCCAGCCUUGGCACAGGAAAGUCCUACCUGACUUCAGCGCUACCUCUGGCACACAGUCGUAUGGCAGUUUGGGGCAAGCAAUUGAUCAGUGCUCCUGGCCAAUUUCUUAAGCCUCCCAGUUAGUUCUGGAACAACAUUGGCAGUGGGAAGUUGCAUCCUUGUAAGUAACUAAACCAAUAAAAACAGAGCAGCAUCGCUCACACUUAGGCCACACCUUGACAUUUCCAAGCCCUUUCCUCAAGAUUGUCUGGGAUGGGGCGAUGCCGACAUCUUUGUGUCCGUUUUACAGAAGUCAAGGCCCAGAGGCAGGUCGUGACCUGCCUUAUAGUUCCACAUUAGAAUCAUAGGGAAAUGCCUUGGCCUCCAGAGGAAGAGGUCUCUGAAUUUCAGGCUCCUCUCUGAACUAUAAAAUCAAGUCAGACACUGAGGACUCUUGAAAUCUAGCUUCUUUGUGUAUUAUCGGCUGCCACAGAGCAACAGGCUGCAUUUGUGUGUGUAUAAAAUCUCUCCAUAUCUCAAUGCUUGGGAAAUCUCAGGACAACUAAUAGGAAGCUGACGCUAAAGCAAUUUGGCUGAAAAUGUGUUUGGAAUCACAUAGGAGGAAAAGCAAGCCAUGUGGCCAGCCCAGCCCAACUCUGGGUUUGCAACAACGGGUUUGCAGAGUCAGCACGUGGUUUCCUGCUAAGGGAGCCUCUUAAUGCUAUCUUCAAGGAGGAAUUGAGACGAAAAGCAGCCAGGUCCCAGCAGUAAUGGGUACAAAAAUACAAUAAAAACCCAUUACAGUUUUCUGGGACUUGUGAAGAUGGGAGAGGAUACAGAGGGAGAAUGUACAAACAAAAAGUGAGGGGGUUUUUUAAUCACAUUUUUAUAUUAAAAACUUAACAUUUUGUAAGGACUGAAGUGUUCCCUGGAUACUUAGCUUAUCCCAAAUCUAAGGCAAUGUAGCAUUAGUGGAAGGAAUACUAAUUAGAUUCAAUCAGGGAAAUUACUUAAUCUCUCUGGACCACAAUUACCUCAAUUUCCUCAUCUGGAGAAUGGGCAUCCAGGGACAGGUAGGAGGAUUGAAUGUACAUGAUCAUUAAGGUUCCUUCCAGCCCUAACUUGUAUGAUCUUUUUCCAGAUGCAGAUGAUUACAUCUUCCUCACAGUAGUCGGGAUUCUUCUGACACUCCUUCAGCCAUCCCUCCUUCCUCAGUGGAGGGCAAAAAUAAAAGAAGAGUCCCAGGGCCCACGUAACAGGGAUAAAUGGGAUCUUUGUCAGAGAUAUGCAAUAACUCAUCCAUGAUUUCAGUGUGGCUCCUCCCUCAUUUGUCAGCCCAAACUCCUUAGUUGACAAUUAAAGAAACUGAGGCCCAUGACUUGCCCCAGGUCACACAGUAAAUGGCAGGUCCGUCACUUUCUCAGACAGGUGACUUAUAGCAUUUCCCAAAGCUCAUGAAACAGAGACAAGCAAAAACCCUUUGAAGUUGGAGAGGCCAGCCAAGCUGGCUUGAGUGCUAAAGCCUGUGCUAUACAUUAAAGGUAGUAGAAAUGCCCAAACAGCCCUCUUCCUGAAUAAAUGCUCCAGAAACCUUUACUACAGUAACCUGACAGUGGCAUCCAUCUUUCACCUUGUUGCCUGAUUUCCCAGCAACCAACCCAACUGACGUGGCCAUGUUUCUUAAUUCUGUGAUCCUGAUGUAACUCUUGACUAGCACCUGCUGAUAAGCUGACCAAGUGUCAUUUCGGUAUUAGUUCAAACCACUCAUAAACCCAAUGAUCCAGGACACUGGGGUGAGAAUGAGCUAUUUCGCAAAAAGUGGGGAAAACUGGAAAGUAGCUUGGUAGAAAGUAGUCAUAGAACAACAUCUCACCCUAUAUAGCAAGAUUAGCGCCAAAUGGGUGCAGAUCAUAAAGAGUGGUGUGACAUAAGCAAAUUUAUGGAGCAUAGAAGAAAUUGCCCGAUAUAUCUAUAGAGGAAGAGUUCACGGACAAACGAGAUAGGUACACAGGAGGUUAAAUGUAUAAUUUUUUUAAAAUCCUUUCUAUCUUUGAAGAAUGGUAAGGACCAGGCAAUGGGGGUUAAGUGACUUGUCUGAGGUCACACUUGAACCCAGAACCUCCUAUAUCUAGGCCUGGCUCUCAAUCUCUUGAACUGAGCCACCCAGCUGCCCUCAAAUGGAACAUUUUGAUUACAUAAAAGUUUUACGCAAAGCAAACCAGUGCAACUGAAAUUAGAAGAAAAGCAGGAUAGUAGUAGGGGGAAAGUACUUGCAACAAAUUCUCUGAUAAAGGAAUUAUUUCUCAUGUAUGUAAGGAACAGUCAAAUUCACAAGAAUGUAAGAGCCAUUCCCCAAUUGAUAAAUGAUUGAAGGAUAUUAGUUUUCAGAGGAAGAAAUCUAACUUGUCAAUCAAAAAAAAAAUAACUGUCACUGAUAAGUAGACACCUGACCAAGAUGACAAAAAGUGACAUGUUGGUGGCAAUAAGAGAAAAUAGGUAUACUAAUGCACUGUUGCUGGAGAAUGAAAUGACAGACCACUCCAGUACCUUUGCCAAAGAAAGCUCAAAUGGGGUCAUGAAGAGUCAAACACAACUGAACGACAAUGUACUACUGUUGUCACCAAGAACUACUUCAGCCAUUGAGGAAAACAAUUUGGAAUUAUGCCCCCCAAAACUACUAAACUGUGCACACCCUUAGACCCAGCAGUACUUCUAGUCCACCCCAAAAAGAGCAACAAAAGGGCGAAAGAACCCACAUGUACAAAACCAGCAGCUCUUUUUGUGAUAGCAAAAACUUGGAAACUAAGGGAUGCCUCUCAAUGGUUAAACAAGUUACAGGAUAUGAAUGCAUUGAAAUGCUAUUAUGCUAGCAUAAAUGAAAAGAGGGAUGAUUUCAGAAAAAUCUGAGAAAACUUAAGAACUGAUGCAAAGUGAAGUGAGAAGAACCAGGAGAACGAUUUAUACAGUAAUAACAAUAAUGUAGAGAUAAAUUUUGAAAGCAACAGUUGGCUACUCUGAUCAACAUCAUGACCAAACACAAUUCCGAAGGACUUGUGUUGAAACAUAUUGUCCACUUGGCAUUUAGAGAACUGAUGGGACUCAGGGCUGUGUAAAGAAUAUUUUCUUCUUUAUUUUUUGUGGAUUUUGGGGGUGGGGAAGAUAUAACUAAUAUGAAAACUUAUUUUGCAUGACUACAUAAUUUCUAAUGGGUUUUGUUUUCCUCAACGGGUGGAGGGAGGAGAGAAUUGGAAUUGAAAAAUAAAAUUGAAUUAAAAAAAAAUAAACCAUGAUGCAUCUGUAAAA